CUGGAUGAGGACAAGCAGCCUCUCCUACCCCUCUCCGCUUUGCCUGGCUGUGCACUGGCUGCACCAGUGCAGCUGGCAGAUCUCCCAGGUUAAGGUGGAAACAGCAGUGGAGCUGGAUUGUGAGAAAACAGUUUACAUAAGAAAUGGACACUUCAAAGGAAUCUCUGUGAAUGCAGUCACAAGACCUGAGGUUUUUUGCCCGACAGUGUCUUACAGUAGUUCAGCUGACACAGAGGCUUUUUGCUGAUGUCUCUGCCAGUCUCUCAGGAAUGAUGUUACAUGAGUAGUCACUGGUCAUAUGACAAGUGCCGGGUUUCGUCUGUUCCUCUUGGGUAGGUAGAAACAGAAGGAGAUUACUGCACUAUGAAAAACCUCAGUCUGAUCCAAAACAUAACCUUGGAGAAGGAGAAAAUACUUUAGAUUCUUCAUUCUUCAAUUUUCUUUGUUAAAACCUGAUGCCGCUUUCAUGUAAAGCACCAAGAACAAUUGUGUUGCUUAUGGCAGGAAGAAUAUCAGGCUUUGGCUUUUCUACUGAGUUCAACUAAAGGUAUAAUUUAAGGGUGUCUAUGAUAAAGUGAGGUAGUUAUGAUCUAGUAAAAGUUCAGAAAAACAUAAAAAGGAGAACAACAGCCACUGUCAGAUCCAUCUAGUAUAGUAUCUUGUUUCUAAUGGUAGCCAACAUUUAGUGUCUGGGAGUGAGUAUGACGACAGGGAAGAUAGUGAUAUUUCACAGUUUUCAACUGUUUUAGAGGAGGGACUGAAAAAUGCAGUGACAGAGACCAUGGAGAAUCAAAAGAGUAAGUGUUUUCAUUCUCUCAUCAAGUUCAAGUCUGAGCUAGCACAGCACAUGAGUGCUCCGUAUUCCAGUACCGCAUGCAGCAGCUCAAAGCCUGAGCCAGGGCAAUGUUUUGUGUAUGGCAUGCAUCACAUAGCAGUUUGUGAAAGAACUGCUUUAAGAUUUAGGAUAAAAUUGGAUGCAGAUUAAAAGGCCUUUUAAACCAACAAACAGACACGUUCCCUGGGUGCAAGCAAUCCUUCUCAAAUACUUGUGACAAUGAAUUUCUCUCAAGUUCAUAUUUGUGUUUGUUUACUGUAUGAAAUUGUGAUGUGUCCAACACUGUACCCUGAAGAAAAACAUUUGCCAUUAAAAAGAACAAUCAUAAAAAUUUUACUUCCUCAUGUUUUUAAGGAUCCCAUGGUAAUUAAUAAACUCCAUUAGUGGAAGAGUCA
rnacentral:lncRNA from 1 species